AAUGAACGCUGGCGGCAUGCCUAACACAUGCAAGUCGAACGAGACCUUCGGGUCUAGUGGCUCAAGUGUUCGUAAAGCGUGGGAAAAUGCGCUUAGGUUCUGACUUACUCCCCGAAAUGGGUGCUAAUACCGGAUACUGUCUCCGGACCAAAGCUUUCUCCCCUUUGGAUGUGCCCGCGUUGGAUUAGCUAUUUGGUAGGGUAAAAGCCUACCAAGGCGAGGAUCCAUAGCUGGGCUGAGAGGGUGCUCAGCCACACUUGGACUGAGACACGGCCCCGACUCCGACGGGAGGCAGCAGUGGAGAAUAUUGGAGAAGGGGCGAAAGCCUGACGCAGCAAUGCCGCGGGAGUGAGGAAUGCCGUAGGGUUGUAAAGCUCGUAUACCCGAGACGAUAAUGACAGUACCGGGAGAAUAAGCUCCGGCUAACUCCGUG
rnacentral:rRNA from 1 species